rnacentral:rRNA from 1 species
CAGUCGUACCUUCGGGUAAUCAGCCUUUCGGGUGCGAUUCUGUGGAGUGUGAGGAGCUUAACACCUUCAUGCUUUGCAUAUUUGUGCUCUUGGGUGUACUUGCCCGUGUGGUUGGUUAACAUCAAUUUUGAUUAUCAUAAAAUGACUGGAGGAAUGUAGCUUCGAUCUCGUAUUGAAGUGUUAUAGCCUUCGGUAGAUGUGAUGAUCGAGAUUGAGGAUUGCAACGGAUACCCUUCGGGGCUACCUGUCUGGUCUCUGAUCGUUGCUCUGGUGCCGAAAGCGUGCUUACGGUUAUCAAAGUCGAUGGUCAAUAGGUUAGAACGGGUUAAA